rnacentral:rRNA from 1 species
GGGCCCGCACAAGCGGUGGAGCAUGUGGUUUAAUUCGAUGCAACGCGAAGAACCUUACCUACACUUGACAUCAUCAGAACUUGUUAGAGAUAACUCGGUGCCUUCGGGAACUGAUAGACAGGUGCUGCAUGGGCUGUCGUCAGCUCGUGUCGUGAGAUGUUGGGUUAAGUCCCGCAACGAGCGCAACCCCUAUCCUUAGUUGCCAGCGGGUAAAAGCCGGGGGACUCUAGGAAGACAAACCUCGUGUAGAGGUGGGAAGGUGGGGACGACGUCAAGUCAGUAUGGCCCUUACGACCAGGGCUGCACACGUGCUACAAUGCCCAGCACAAUGGGGAUGCAACACCGCGAGGUUGAG